rnacentral:rRNA from 1 species
CGGGCGUUAAGUUGCAGGGUAUAGACCCGAAACCCGGUGAUCUAGCCAUGGGCAGGUUGAAGGUUGGGUAACACUAACUGGAGGACCGAACCGACUAAUGUUGAAAAAUUAGCGGAUGACCUGUGGCUGGGGGUGAAAGGCCAAUCAAACCGGGAGAUAGCUGGUUCUCCCCGAAAGCUAUUUAGGUAGCGCCUCGUGAAUUCAUCUCCGGGGGUAGAGCACUGUUUCGGCUAGGGGGCCAUCCCGGCUUACCAACCCGAUGCAAACUGCGAAUACCGGAGAAUGUUAUCACGGGAGACACACGGCGGGUGCUAACGUCCGUCGUGAAGAGGGAAACAACCCAGACCGCCAGCUAAGGUCCCAAAGUCAUGGUUAAGUGGGAAACGAUGUGGGAAGGCCCAGACAGCCAGGAUGUUGGCUUAGAAGCAGCCAUCAUUUAAAGAAAGCGUAAUAGCUCACUGGUCGAGUCGGCCUGCGCGGAAGAUGUAACGGGGCUAAACCAUGCACCGAAGCUGCGGCAGCGACACUGUGUGUUGUUG